UACGUAGGGUCCGAGCGUUGUCCGGAAUUAUUGGGCGUAAAGAGCUCGUAGGCGGUUUGUCGCGUCUGCUGUGAAAACCUAAGGCUCAACCUUGGGCUUGCAGUGGGUACGGGCAGACUAGAGUGCGGUAGGGGUGACUGGAAUUCCUGGUGUAGCGGUGAAAUGCGCAGAUAUCAGGAGGAACACCGGUGGCGAAGGCGGUUCUCUGGGCCUGUACUGACGCUGAGGAACGAAAGCGUGGGGAGCGAACAGG
rnacentral:rRNA from 1 species